CUUGCACCUGAUUGACGAUGGAUCACCAGUGAGUGGCGGACGGGUGAGUAACACGUAGGUAACCUGCCCCGGAGCGGGGGAUAACAUUUGGAAACAGAUGCUAAUACCGCAUAACAACAAAAGCCACAUGGCUUUUGUUUGAAAGAUGGCUUUGGCUAUCACUCUGGGAUGGACCUGCGGUGCAUUAGCUAGUUGGUAAGGUAACGGCUUACCAAGGCGAUGAUGCAUAGCCGAGUUGAGAGACUGAUCGGCCACAAUGGAACUGAGACACGGUCCAUACUCCUACGGGAGGCAGCAGUAGGGAAUCUUCCACAAUGGGCGCAAGCCUGAUGGAGCAACACCGCGUGAGUGAAGAAGGGUUUCGGCUCGUAAAGCUCUGUUGUUGGAGAAGAACGUGCGUGAGAGUAACUGUUCACGCAGUGACGGUAUCCAACCAGAAAGUCACGGCUAACUACGUGCCAGCAGCCGCGGUAAUACGUAGGUGGCAAGCGUUAUCCGGAUUUAUUGGGCGUAAAGCGAGCGCAGGCGGUUGCUUAGGUCUGAUGUGAAAGCCUUCGGCUUAACCGAAGAAGUGCAUCGGAAACCGGGCGACUUGAGUGCAGAAGAGGACAGUGGAACUCCAUGUGUAGCGGUGGAAUGCGUAGAUAUAUGGAAGAACACCAGUGGCGAAGGCGGCUGUCUGGUCUGCAACUGACGCUGAGGCUCGAAAGCAUGGGUAGCGAACAGGAUUAGAUACCCUGGUAGUCCAUGCCGUAAACGAUGAGUGCUAGGUGUUGGAGGGUUUCCGCCCUUCAGUGCCGGAGCUAACGCAUUAAGCACUCCGCCUGGGGAGUACGACCGCAAGGUUGAAACUCAAAGGAAUUGACGGGGGCCCGCACAAGCGGUGGAGCAUGUGGUUUAAUUCGAAGCUACGCGAAGAACCUUACCAGGUCUUGACAUCUUGCGCUAACCUUAGAGAUAAGGCGUUCCCUUCGGGGACGCAAUGACAGGUGGUGCAUGGUCGUCGUCAGCUCGUGUCGUGAGAUGUUGGGUUAAGUCCCGCAACGAGCGCAACCCUUGUUACUAGUUGCCAGCAUUAAGUUGGGCACUCUAGUGAGACUGCCGGUGACAAACCGGAGGAAGGUGGGGACGACGUCAGAUCAUCAUGCCCCUUAUGACCUGGGCUACACACGUGCUACAAUGGACGGUACAACGAGUCGCAAGCUCGCGAGAGUAAGCUAAUCUCUUAAAGCCGUUCUCAGUUCGGACUGUAGGCUGCAACUCGCCUACACGAAGUCGGAAUCGCUAGUAAUCGCGGAUCAGCAUGCCGCGGUGAAUACGUUCCCGGGCCUUGUACACACCGCCCGUCACACCAUGGGA
rnacentral:rRNA from 1 species